UUACAGGCUCAUAGGUAGAAGGGACUUGCCUUGUCUCAGAUGAGACUUUGGAUUGUGGACUUUCGAGUUAAUGCUGAAAUGAGAAAAGACUUUGGGGGACUGUGGAAGGCAUGAUUGAUUUUGAAAUAUGAGGACGUGGGAUUUGUCGGGGCCAGGGGUGGAAUUAUAUGAUUCAGCUGUGUCUCCACCCAGAUCUCAUCUUGACUUCCCAUGUGUUAUGAGAGUGACCGGUGGGAGGUAAUUGAAUCAUGGGGGCAGGUUUUUUCUGUGCUGUUCUUGUGCUAGUGAAUAAAUCUCACCAGAUCUGCUUUAUAAGGUGGAGUUUCCCUGCACAAGUUUUCCUUUGGCCUGCUGCCAUCUACAUAAGAUGUGACUUGCUUCUCCUUGCUUUCCGCCAUGAUUGUGAAGCUUCCCCACGCACAUGGAACUGAACAGGGUAGAUGAUCUGGACAUACUUGUUUCAUUAUUAAGAUACUUUGGAACUACUUUAAAAGGAUGAGGCAGGUAGGAAAACCUUGUAUAACUCACCAUCACAACUCUAGAAUUCAGCAGGAUCAAUGCCAACAACUAAAUGAAUAACCAGCAGGAUUCUCCAAACAAAGCCAAUGAAGUGAUGGAGAAAGUCUCAUCUGUGAUAUGGAAUCCAUAUCUUCAGGAUGCAAAAGGGAAUAAAAUGUUACAUAUGGAUCUUGGUGAUAUUUCUUAACUCCUAAAAUGACUUUGUUAGCUGUAUUGUAUACAUAAUAAUGCAACCCUGGAAAAAAAUAGUCAUUGCCAG
rnacentral:lncRNA from 10 species